UACGAAGGGGGCUAGCGUUGUUCGGAAUUACUGGGCGUAAAGCGCGCGCAGGCGGUUUCUCAAGUCAGUGGUGAAAGCCCGGAGCUCAACUCCGGAACUGCCAUUGAAACUGUGAAACUUGAGGACGAGAGAGGUGAGUGGAAUUCCCAGUGUAGAGGUGAAAUUCGUAGAUAUUGGGAAGAACACCGGUGGCGAAGGCGGCUCACUGGCUCGUUUCUGACGCUGAGGCACGAAAGCGUGGGGAGCAAACAGG
rnacentral:rRNA from 1 species